UACGGAGGGUGCAAGCGUUAAUCGGAAUUACUGGGCGUAAAGCGCACGUAGGUGGUUUGGUUAGUCGAAUGUGAAAUCCCCGGGCUUAACCUGGGAAUUGCGUUCGAUACUGCCUGACUAGAGUAUGGUAGAGGGUAGUGGAAUUCCGGGUGUAGCGGUGAAAUGCGUAGAUAUCCGGAGGAACAUCAGUGGCGAAGGCGGCUACCUGGACCAAUACUGACACUGAGGUGCGAAAGCGUGGGGAGCAAACAGA
rnacentral:misc_RNA from 1 species